ACAAAAAGUACACAUAUUUUUAUUUUGGAAAAAAACUAUAAAUACCAUAUUAUGAUUUUACAGUUUUUUAUUUUAGUAUCAUGUGAUUUAAAGUGUAUCAAUUUAGCACCCCGUAAUUUUAUUUUUCUUUUUUUUAUCCCCUCCACUAAUUUUUUUUUGUUAAAUCAAUGACAAAAUUAAAACUAAAAGGUACUAAAGUGAAUAUUCGAUAAAUCUAGAUAGAAUAUCUAAAAUUAUUAGUAUAUAAUUUAACGAAAUGUUAAUGGAGGAACUGAUGAAAAGAAAAAAAAAAAAUUACAGAGUAUGAAAGUGAUAUACUUUAAACCACAGAUAGCAAAGGGAGAAAGGGCGAGACAACAGAAAUGGUAUUUGAAAUUUACCCUUUAUUGUAUUAAAGUGUUAUUUUAAUGUG
rnacentral:lncRNA from 1 species